AUUACUUUAAGAUGCAGAAGAACCCACCACCAAUCCAUCUUACUUUAACCCUCCACCGAUUGAUUCGCUCUCUAGAAUCUUGGCUUUUUCCAUUAUCUAUCGAUUCCUCUCCAACUAACCCUUCCUACCUCCUCUUCCACAACCCUUUCGAUUUCCCUUGGUUGACUAAAGAUCCACAAUCACUUGAGGUAAGUUCCUUCAACCAUAUUUCUGUUAACAUCCACUAAUCCAUAUUUCUAUGUGUUUCUUUGUUACAGUUUCUUUUCGCCCUUCCUCUCUUCCAAUGGCUUCGCCGCUUCAGCUUCGAUCAGACCAGGGCCACAUAAGCUAUCAUUGGUUUCUUCAUUUCAUCAUCGGCCAACAUAAAAAAAAAUAUGCGUCCAUUUCGGUUUGUCGCUUGCUUUCUGAAGUGUGAGACACGAUUUUAGGUUCAACAAACAUUCACCGCUACUGCUUCUUUCGUCUUUGGUUUUCACAGUUUCAUACUUUUGGGUUUCUGCUUCUUUGAAAACCGAGGGCUUACUUAAUUUGACGAACUAAUUUAUUGCAGAAGCUAAACCUGUAUUCUUUCUUUCAGUGGGCGAUAUUUAUGCAACUUGGUAAUUCUUUCUUUCAUCUUUUACUCAAUUGAAGUAUUAGGCUCUUGCUUUAAGUUAUCAUCUUUGUUACUUAGAUGUGUGUCCCAUGUCAAUUUAUGAGUAAUACUAUUAAUGAAGUUAUAUAACGAUGGGAGACACACUCCAAGUAGUUAAAAUUCAUACCGAAAAGUAUCCUGAAAUUGCAAACAGGUACAGAAUUCAAGCUUUACUUAAUUAUUAUCAGUCCCAACUGAGACUAAUUUUUCAUUCCUUUUUAACUUAUUUUUGUUUUUUCCUUCAUUCUAAUACAUUAGUAUUAAUGAUGAAUUUGACUAAUUUGUUAACUUAUUAAUGGGUGUGUCAAGCACAAAACCUCAGAUAUUUAGUUGGUAAAUUGAAGUUACAUAUUAGAAAAUUAGCAUUGGGAAGAAUUUAGUCCAUUUUUCAUGUUCUGUCGCCUGUAGCAAAGAAGGUUAAUAGAUCAUGCAGGUAAAAGUGAAGGUUACUAAUUGUAUAUGGCCCACAUAAGCUUUCGGUAGGGUUGAGUUUUGGGUUUAUGAUGUGGUUUCAGGUGUACAAAUGUUUAACCAGCCAGGUACUCUCGAUUUACUUUCUCAGCUUUGUUUUGCUUUCGUAGUUUAGAAUUUUUUACCAAUCUUCUUCCUCAUGUUUGAAACUUAUGUUGUGUUGCUCAUCACAGCUUCGUUUGCCCUAAUUACCAGCUUUUAUUCCCCCCUUAGUUCAUAACCAAAUUUAUAUGAACUCCCUCAAAUCUAUUUUGUUGUAGUCAACUUCAACCUUCCAACAACCCAAAAUUUAUGUGUUUAACAAAAGUUCGAUCAGACCAGGCCCACAUAGAUGAGAAGGAAAUACUCUUGGAGAAAUUGCUGGUGAGAAAGUUGGUAUCUUUAAGGUGCUUCUUCACAUGACAAUUCACAUGCCCUUCUAAAUAUGUGAUUUUGAUAAGAUCAAAACACAUGUCAUUUGUACUUUUUUUGUAGAAAGGUGUUCCAACAUUUACUUUAAAGAAAAAGCCUCCCAAUUAGAUAUAAUUUACAAUUCUAUAACAUUUUUAAAUCCCAGAAUAUCACAAAAUAUUCAUAUUACACUUCAAUUUAAAUUACACUGUGACAGGUAAAUCUUGAAGUGGCAAACAUGUUGGAUAGUAAAUUGCUAAAUGGAUUACAUUUAGGGCUUGUAGGGGAUCACCAAUAUAUAAAUGCAGGGCUAGCCAUUAUGUUAAGCUCCACAUGGCUCCAAAGGACAGGUAAUUUGGAACUUGAGACUGUAAGUUUAUGUUAAAAAUGAAACAUUUGUCAGCAUAUGUUUAUUAAAUCUUUCAAAAAGAAAAUUUUCCAUUUUUUUUGUGGUUGGAUACAUAAUUAUUUGUCUGAGAGAUUCAUCAAGGGACUAACAAGUGCAAAAUUACAAGGAAGAGCUCAGAUUAUUCUUGACAAUGUAUGUGAAGGUGAUGUAGUGUUUUAUUUAGAUGGAGCACAUAGUCCUGAAAGCAUGGAAGUCUGUGCAAAUUGGUUUUCCAUAACAAUUGGUGGUGACAACUCCAGGGAGGACUCUGCAUAGAUAUUAUUGUUCAAUUGUAUGUCGGUGAGGGACCUACAAGAUGUAUCCAAAAGGCCAAGCUAGAGGGAGGCAUAGGUUACAUCUCAAACAGAUCAUACAAGCUGAAAAUUACCAAAACUAUCUUCCAUAAUAGCAGAUGGUUUGUAUAAUUUUUUUUUAUGUUAUAAUGAUGCAAGCCAAAAUCCCUUAGUCUAUAACUAUCUUAAAUCAUUGCACUUUCAAUUUGAACAUAAAAACAUUGUAAUUUGGGUUGGAUUUCAAGUGAUUUCAGCUUAUAAGUCA